rnacentral:piRNA from 1 species
UUAUUUGAGAAAGUCCUGUUAAUGUUCCC